GCCUCCGUGGAUUAGCGGUAAAUCACCUCAGCUUUGUGUAUUUUCAUGGAGAUAUAUAUGAGGAGUCGUGGGUUCGAAUCCCACCGGAGGCA